rnacentral:tRNA from 1 species
UCGGGACUGGUGUAACGGUAGCACGAAGGAUUCUGGCUCCUUUAGUCGGGGUUCAAAUCCCUGGUCCCGAA